UACGGAGGGUGCAAGCGUUAUCCGGAUUCACUGGGUUUAAAGGGUGCGUAGGUGGGCAGGUAAGUCAGUGGUGAAAUCUCCGGGCUUAACCCGGAAACUGCCAUUGAUACUAUCAGUCUUGAAUACCGUGGAGGUAAGCGGAAUAUGUCAUGUAGCGGUGAAAUGCUUAGAUAUGACAUAGAACACCAAUUGCGAAGGCAGCUUACUACCCGAAUAUUGACACUGAGGCACGAAAGCGUGGGGAGCAAACAGG
rnacentral:rRNA from 1 species